GAUGAACGCUGGCGGCGUGCUUAACACAUGCAAGUCGAACGGUGAAGCAGGAGCUUGCUCCUGUGGAUCAGUGGCGAACGGGUGAGUAACACGUGAGCAAUCUGCCCUGGACUCUGGGAUAAGCGUUGGAAACGACGUCUAAUACCGGAUACGAGGCGUGGGGGCAUCCCCAACGCCUGGAAAGAACUUCGGUCCAGGAUGAGCUCGCGGCCUAUCAGGUAGUUGGCGAGGUAAUGGCUCACCAAGGCGACGAUCAGUAGCUGGUCUGAGAGGAUGAUCAGCCACACUGGGACUGAGACACGGCCCAGACUCCUACGGGAGGCAGCAGUGGGGAAUAUUGGACAAUGGGGGCAACCCUGAUCCAGCAAUGCCGCGUGAGUGAUGAAGGCCUUCGGGUUGUAAAGCUCUUUUGGCAGGGACGAUGAUGACGGUACCUGCAGAAUAAGCCCCGGCUAACUUCGUGCCAGCCGCCGCAGUAAGAC
rnacentral:rRNA from 1 species